GUCUUUGGCAAAGGCUCCCAUUGGGUUCAGGAGGGGACUGAGGUGCACGGUUACCUGACAGCUCUCUCUCAGCUCCUUUGGAAUUGCAAUUAAAUGCACUGUCUAGGGAACAGCUUGGAGUCAAAGUCUGAAAACUCAGUCCUAGAGGAACAAAAUGUGCACUAGCAGCAAUAUCUUAGAAAGCGAGAGAGAUCUUUCCAGUCACAAAAGCAGCGUUAUUGCUACAUAAGCCCAAAAAAACACAACAGACAAACAAACUGCAAGUGACAUUUCACUGUAGUUACUGAGACCAUGUGGGUGAAGUGACAGCAGCAAUGCAGCUGGCUCCGCGGGGACACGUUAGAGGACACUGAAGAAGAAGAGGGUGCAGGCAUACAGAGAAGUCGAAAGCGGCCCACCUGAGUCUGUUGAGGGAUAUUUACAAAGCUUGGAUCCCGUGGUCCAACACUGACGAAUCGGUUUGCGGGGGAGGUGCUGGGUGUCGAGUAGGUUGGAGAAGUGGGAGAGGUGGCCCCUCCUUCUGUUGAUGUAGUUGGAGGUUUUGUGUCUGGCACUGGCAGAGGCACAGGCCUAGCCAUUGGUGGCGGAGGUGGUGGUGGCAACAUUGGGGUAGGAAGGAAUGGAUUGUGCACCUUGCCUUGGCUGCUACCAUUGGG
rnacentral:lncRNA from 1 species